UCCCUUCUCAGAAGCAAGGCAUCCCGUGGAGACCUCCCCUGCGGGUCUUCCAGGCUCCUCCUCAUUGCCUUCAUUCACCUUCAUGAGUUACAGGUGUCAGAGAAGUCAAGACCUGAAGAGAACCCAGCCAUGCAGUGUAGAGGGAAGAGCAGAGCUCAUACAAACAGAAAGUGUGUCCCAGCACAUUGGGAGGCUGAGGCUCAAAAGAGGAGCUAUUUUGCCAUCUUGUGAUAAAAAGGGAUGGUGUGAGAAUGGGGCCAUCAGAGCAAGUAAGAGGCCAAGAUGGAGAACUGGAAUCUCUGAGUCCUGAAUCCAGCCAUCCCUGCAACCACUCCACCUGGGGACUUGUCCAUAGCAGGCUGGGAUCAGACAGGUUCCCUGUGACUACCAAGAGAGCGGUUGUCAGCUCUGCCUAUGUAUCUUUCCAGCAGGGCUGGGACCACAUGGGAAGGUUCUAACUCCAAGACCUUUUCACAAUCCUGAAAAGCACUAUUCCAGUUCUGUAAUUUGAUUUCUGCUUGAGCUCGAUUGUUAUAGGCAACUACAGUGGGAAGCGCCGAUAUACUCCUAGAAAAGAAACCGUUACUGGCAACAAGCAAGCCUAAGGUGCCAUUCAUCUGUUGACUACAAACAAAAACAAAUAAACUGCCCCAUCUUUUUGUUUUGAAGCAAAUAGAAAACAAUUUGAGGAAUUUGGAGGGAAAAGAGGAUUGGAAAAAAAGGAAUUACAAACGAAUUACAGAAACAUCGCCACAAGCAUUCUGGAAUUAUAACCUCACAGCUCUCUCCACCAGAGGAAAAGGAGAGUGACUCUUCUCUCUGUCUUCAGUUAGAGAAAUUCCAAGGAAGAACUGAUUGGCUAGCUCGGGUCAUGGGCCCAUCUUGACCAAGCACUAACAGUGGCCCAAAGUAGCCACAUUCCCACUGCUGAAGACAGAGGGCAGGUUCUGCACCGGAACAGAAUGAGAGAAAGGCAAACAAUAGCCAUAAUGCUCACCAAUAAUCAGUCUCCGAGACAGGGUACAAUUUUUUGCUAGGUAAGUACUAAGGAAUUAUUAACUUUAAAAUAUUUAUCUAUAUAGUCUGAAGAAAGGGAAGUAUAGUAGAAUUUAUAAUAAUAAAGUAGGUGCUGAUUUGUUUUUAAACUGUUACAUAUCUUCAUUCUCAUUAGGCUCAGGUUUGUUAAUAGCAAUACUAGGAACUAUAUAAACCACAUAAAUGAGUACUAUGCAGUCCUUACAGGCUCAAAAAGUCUCAUUUGAUGCUUGCACUUGAUUUCCUGCUCAUCAAGACAAUGUUCUCAAUGCUAAGAUGAUGUUAUGGGUUGAAUUGUGUCUCCCAAAACAAUAUGAUGAAGUCCUAACCCUGGUACCUGUGAAUGAGACCUUAUUUGGAAAUAGAGUCUUUGCAAUAUAAUCAAGUGAAGAUGAAGUCAUUAGGGUGGGCCCUAAUCCAGUAUGACUGUGUCCCUAUAAAAAGAGGAGACGAAGUUCCAAGAGAAGGAAGCUGGCGGUGUGAAAAUGAAAACAGAGCUUAGAGUUGUACCGCUACAAGGCAAGGAAGGCCAGGGCUUCCAAAAGCUGGAAGAGCCAAAGAAGGAUCUUCCCUUACAGGUUUUGGAGGCCCUGCCAAUACCUUGAUUUUGUACUUCUAACCCCUAGAACUGUGGAAGAAAACAUUUCUGUUGUUUUAUGCCAACCACUUCCUGUGGUGUUACAGCAGCCCUAGGAAACUAAUACGAGUUGUAUCACUUAGUUUCAAAAGGCAUUGAUGCGAAAUCAGGGGUAUUUAAUAUUCAUACGUGGCUCUCAAAUACCUACCUGUGACAAAAAAUAUCCCCCUUUAGGGAUCAAGAAAUGGACAUGAAUUGGCUUGACAUUUCAAACUGUGUAGAUAUAUCAAAACAUCACAUUGUUUUAUCACACCAUAAAUAUAUGCAAGUGUUAUCAAUUAUAACUGAAUAAAGAAGAAAAAAAUUUUCAAUAAAUAAAAAAAUGAAUGGGGAGCAAUAAAAGUCUCAAGACAUGGACUUAGUAUAUGGGAUAAAAUCUAAUGUGUAAUAUUAUAUUUGGAUAUUUUAAGAAGGCAAUGCUCUCUGACUGAAAGAUUGGGACAUGUGCCUUCUAUGUAUUCUUAUAACACUGCAUAUUUACUGUCAUAAUCCAUGGGGCGGCUCAAAUUUUUCAGUAUCAUGACACGCUCACACUCCUCAAAACUAUCGGUCAUUGGAGUUAUACAGAUUUUCCAAAUAUUCACAGAUUUCAUUAUACAAUUUUAUAAAUCACAAUUUGUUAAUAUCCGCAUGGAGCUCAUCAAAAAAGACUUUCAGGUAUGUUAAAUAAAAUUUAUAGGAGGUCAGUGAUUUGGACUAAGCUCCUGCACUAGGCCCCAACAGACUAAAAUGUAGUCACUGGUGCUAAAGUUCCAUAUCACCAACCCAAAAUUAACUUGCUUAUCUGACUAGAGAAAUCAAAAGACAUAGAUAAUAACCAAAUUUCUGCUUUAACCCUUAUAAGGAAAAUAACCUGUUGUUAAAUAGUCUACUUUUUGUAUUCCUUGUCCCUGCUCAAGCUACCUUAUAAAAACCAGCUGUUCUGCCAUGGCCAUUGGAGCACAUUUUCUAAAUUUUUAGAGGAGAUGUCAUCCUGAUUCACAAAUUGUUAAUAUAAGCCAAUUAAAUCUUGAAAUUUGUUAUAAUGUUGUCCUUUGACAAGUAUCCCCCUUAAGGGCUAUUUUCUGUCACAAGCAGAAAUUUGAGAAACACAUAAUAUCUAAAUUAUUAGAUAUUAUUAUAUUAUACUAAAUAUUUAAUACCUAAAGUCCUAAUUUGCACUUUGUUUUUAGAGACAGGGUCUUGCUCUGUUGCCCAGACUGGAGUACAGUUGUGUCAUCAUGGCU